AGAGUUUGAUCAUGGCUCAGGAUGAACGCUAGCGGGAGGCUUAACACAUGCAAGUCGAGGGGCAUCACGAGGUAGCAAUACUUUGGUGGCGACCGGCGUACGGGUGAGUAACGCGUAUGCAACCUGCCCUGUACUGGGGGAUAGCCCGGAGAAAUUCGGAUUAAUACCCCAUAAAGAUAUUUGGAGGCAUCUUUGGAUAUUUAAAGUUUCGACGGUACGGGAUGGGCAUGCGUAACAUUAGCUUGUUGGUAGGGUAACGGCCUACCAAGGCUACGAUGUUUAGGGGUCCUGAGAGGGUGAUCCCCCACACUGGUACUGAGACACGGACCAGACUCCUACGGGAGGCAGCAGUGAGGAAUAUUGGUCAAUGGGCGCAAGCCUGAACCAGCCAUCCCGCGUGCAGGAAGACGGCGCUAUGCGUUGUAAACUGCUUUUCCAGGGGAAGAAAACCCACGACGUGUCGUGGUUUGCCGGUACCCUGGGAAUAAGCAUCGGCUAACUCCGUGCCAGCAGCCGCGGUAAUACGGAGGAUGCGAGCGUUAUCCGGAUUUAUUGGGUUUAAAGGGUGCGUAGGCGGAUUAAUAAGUCAGUGGUGAAAACCUUCAGCUUAACUGGAGACUUGCCAUUGAUACUGUUAGUCUUGAGUACGGUCAAGGUAGGCGGAAUGUGUAAUGUAGCGGUGAAAUGCUUAGAUAUUACACAGAACACCGAUUGCGAAGGCAGCUUACUGGGCCAUUACUGACGCUGGUGCACGAAAGCGUGGGGAGCGAACAGGAUUAGAUACCCUGGUAGUCCACGCCGUAAACGAUGAUCACUCGCUGUUGGCGAUACACAGUCAGCGGCUAAGCAAAAGCAUUAAGUGAUCCACCUGGGGAGUACGGCCGCAAGGCUGAAACUCAAAGGAAUUGACGG
rnacentral:rRNA from 1 species